CGGGAAUUUUGGGCAAUGGGCGAAAGCCUGACCCAGCAACGCCGCGAGAGGGAUGAAGUAUUUCGGUAUGUAAACCUCGAAAGAAUGGGAAGAAUAAAUGACGGUACCAUUUAUAAGCUCCGGCUAACUACGUGCCAGCAGCCGCGGUAAUACGUAGGGAGCAAGCGUUGUUCGGAUUUACUGGGCGUAAAGCGCGCGUAGGUGGUUUGGUAAGAUGGAUGUGAAAUCCCCGGGCUCAACCUGGGAACUGCAUCCAUAACUGCCUGACUAGAGCACGGUAGAGGGUGGUGGAAUUUCCUGUGUAGCGGUGAAAUGCGUAGAUAUAGGAAGGAACGCCAGUGGCGAAGGCGACCACCUGGACUGAUACUGACACUGAGGUGCGAAAGCGUGGGGAGCAAACA
rnacentral:rRNA from 1 species